rnacentral:piRNA from 1 species
UGAGUGCAUAUUCAUUGGAAGGCCA